GACUAGCUCAACCGCCGCGCCAGUGCCCGCCUCCUCUUCCUUAACGCCUAGGGCUGCGCCCACCAGCCGGCAACGUCCAGGAAAGGGCCACAGGAGAAAUGACACCCGUGCAAUGCGGAGUGUCCCGGCUCCGCUUCCCCGCAGGGACUCGAGGUGCGCUCCUUUUCCUGGCCACGGUUUAGGGAGGCUCGGAGAUGGACACCUCGGCAGUAUCUGGCGACCCUCUUCUCACUCGCUCCGCCCACUCCUGCUCUCCAGGGUCCCAGCCAAGGGCCCGAACCCUCGGAGUCCUAGUGAGCCUUGGCCGCUUUGUCUGGGAUCAGGCUUAUCCUCCUAGCCCACGGCCCGGGAGGGAACAAAGAGCCUCGACCCUCAAGCUCUAGCCUCUGCCUCUCAUCGGAGCCCCAUGCGCCCAUUCAUCACCUUUCUAAAGACCCCUUUGUCUGCCUGGCAAGCACAGGUCUGCAAGGGAUGCCCACGCCCCUGCCCAAAGUCCUGCUUUUCUAACAACUGAGCUAGAUUGGAUUUUCAAGCCACCCAGUCUUGUGUAAACGACCUCAUACCGGUCUUUUUUACCCCCUCAGAAUAGACCAUGUAUAGAUUCGUUGAUGCAUGACGACCAUUCCAGCCCAUUCCUUGCUAGCUUUUUCAUUCUCUUCCAGUCCGCUUUGACUGUGCUACUGUUUUCCUGGUUUUCUACAGAAUAGCAAGUCCUUCUGUAAGGAUCAACCUGCAUCUUGCUCGCUUAAAUAAAUGCUUAUUACCUAGGGAGCAGGAAUAUUAAGAAAUGGAGUGCAGGAAGUUUAAGAGCAUGUGUGUGUGUUAGCAGUCCCAUCUCUCUCUCUCUCACACACACAUACACACACACGCAAGGGCUGUUUUCUUUGUUUUAAUCAAUGUCAGAGAAAAAUAUAAACUGGGCAGGCAUCUCUGCUGGUGUGUAGUUUCUGAUAGAGGACGCCUCCAAACCGGAACAGGGAGGAUUUCCGAAACAGGACUUUGAAUAGAGUUGACAAUCAGGUUCACAUCCUCAGAAAAAGCCUUCCAAGCUAUGUCAGCAACACAAAGUUGCACCACCUCCUGGGUAAACUUCAAAGACACAGAGGCCAGCGGGUGGAAGGAAGUGUGAUAUUUAGAGAACUUAGUGGGGCGGGGGAGAGUCUGAACUCAUCUAGACAAACUAAAAAAAAUAGCAGAAAUAUAGUCUGUGUGAAGCUACAGUACCCAGUUUCUUUCUAAAACUGUAACCAUGACGCCCAUGCGUUUUAGCCGUAGAAGAACAAAUAAGGAAGUAUCCUUAGUGGUACUGGAGUUUCUAAUUCAAAUUAUAACACAUUAAUCUAUCCAACGUCAAAUAGAAAAAAAAAAAGUAGAGAAACAGAGUAUACCUAUUUCCUGCUUUCUAAGCUUUAACUUCAGCCCUUCGAGAAACCAUCUAUCUCCAGUAUCUCCUUAGGUGAUAGGACAUUGAAAACAGGCAACCGUUUGGUGAAUAAAGACAUUUCUCUUGAGUUCUGCCCACAGAUUAAAAGGACAAGGACACACGUUCUUUGUUGACACUUCUGCAGUGACUUCUCCUUUGGCGAGAGAGCACCCAGGGCCAACACAACUGUCACCACAACCACACAGAGCAAGUUGAACUCAUACUGGGAACAGCUUAGAGAAGCACGCACAUCUCAACAACAGCCUUUGUUAUUUAAUUCAUGACACUAACCACGCGCAAGCUCAAACAAACACACAUGCUAUCCUAACCAUCACUCUACCCUCUAUAUUCACAUUUCAUUUAUGGCUUGACUUUUUGUCAUAUCCUGAAAUGAAGCUUUGCAUUUACCCGAUGAGUUGCGUCUCCUGGUGCUCCUCAGUUCUUGCUAUUUCUUUUGUCUUAUAAAAGAUCAGGAGCAGACUUAUUGUGCAGAUCGUCCACCUCUUCCUAAUGGAGCGCAUCUUGGGUGCCCGAGAAAGUCCUGGUUGCCCCAGCUCCCGCACCUUCUCUUGAUAUAAAGGCUCCGUUUUGGGGAGAUAGUCGCGGGGGUGAAAUCUGUAAAAUGCGAGGAGAGCUUGGAGCCGGGAUCCCGGGAUCAGAUCACUGGGGUCUUCUGUGGCCGAGCUCCCUCUGGUCCUCGAACGCUGCCCAGCGACCUCUCGCCCUGUUUGCGCCAGCUCUGCCAGGGUCGCUCCGCGCCGCCUCCCUGGGGCUCAGGUUUCUUUUCAGAUGAGACACCUUGUGCAUUGGAGGUGGCGGCAGCUUCUGCAGCUGGGUUCGGGGGCGUCACUGGCCCUUCCCUCUUGCUAGGAGAUAAACGCUGCGCAAAGCCAAUCACCAGGCUGAGGGGGCGGAGGCUGCUUGGAGAGUAACGUCCCCGGCUCUGCCUGCUCUGUGCCGGGAGAGGAAGCUCACAGUGCUACGCGCCUGCGAGCUCGCGCACAUACACAUAUACAUACAUACACACAUACAUACAUAUGCACACACACGUACACGCAGAAUCACACACACUCUCCUGGGACAUCAAAGCAUCAGCUCUCUGGACCUGGGAGCUCCAAGAUAGUCUAUCCGCAUCUAGGUGAGAGGGCACCUCGCCUGGGGACAGAUUACAAAAGCGUCCCGCCAGAGGAAUGCUUCAGGUAGAGCUAGGGGUGGAUUGCAAGAAGAGUACCUUCUUUCAAUCGCUUUUGCUAAACACACACCCUCACACGCAAAAACACGCCCUCCAAGGUGGAGUGAAACGGGGUGCGGGGGUGGGGACGGCGGUGGAAGGAAGAAGACUUUUAUUACUCAAUCUGGAAAGUGCAAAUACACACAUGAACCUGUUAGCCGAUGGGCCCACUCUGCAUGGGUGGUGGACGACGACCCUGGCUCAGGAUUCUGCAGGAAACAAGUGAUGAUAGAGGUGUCAUUAGGAACUUUAUGGAUAUUUAUGCGCCUCCCUUUCAUUGCCAUUUGGAAACUCCUCACGCAGAAGUCAAGGAAACUCCAAUCCCACUUAAACUUCAUUGCGGAGAAACAGAGUUCUGAAAAAAAAGCAGCUACCAUGGACCUCUCUUUUAAACGCAAGUACACCCACACACAUUCGGAUACCAAGGAAGGAAGGAAAGAAAGAAAGGAAAGAAAAGGGAGGGGAGGAAGGAAGAGCAAAGUCCUCUCUAAAAGUCUCAAUUAUAUAUAUAGCCUCUGAUUGUCACCUCUCCUCCGUCCCACCAUUUUUCGUACUUGUAUUGGGUGGCAGGGACACUUUUCAAGAGUUCUGUGUUCGAUUGUUCACUCUGAGUACCUCUCCACCAUCCUCCAGUCGUUGCCCUCAUUGGGAGAGAUGCUUGCUACUCUGCUAGUACCACGCCUUGGUUCCGGUCUUUACUGUUGGCUGGUAGGUCGGGAGGCACCUCUAGCAUGAGACAGUGUCUGGAAGCCAGGAUUUCCCUCAUCUAUAUGCGCCGGUCCCCAGCUCCCUGGUCGCCAGGGUUUCUCUCCAGUUGAAUUCCGUGUUCCUUCAGGUUGAACAGUAGCUUCAGCGGUUUUUCACGCUCAGAAAUGAUGAGGCCCAAUUCCAAUCUUCCCUCCCGCCGGAAGUAAGAAGGGGAAUUCUGAGUUGCUUGUCGCCUGACAGCUUAAAAUAGCAACGAAAACAGCCAGCAUCUUUGCUUAAAAACCCAAGGUUCCCGCCAGUGUUUACCAUACUUCCUCUAGAGUUUAAGAAGUUAAGAACUUCCGAGAUCUUGAAUUUCCUCUUUGCAGCACAGCGAACGGGGUCGGGUAUAAAAAUGCUCCAAGGAGCAAGUAAUUACGAACGUUUAUUGACACUACAAGUGGCCCACAGGGAGCCUUUCGAGUUUAUUGAUGUCUAGGCAAAUCCAGCCUGCAUUAAUGCAUUUCUGUUAGAUUGACUUCUGUUAGACUCACUUUUCUUCUGGCAAAAACUGCCAGAAUAAAACAGCUUCUUAUUUAAGUUAAAAGGGAUCCGGGGCUGAGGGCAGGGGUCGGGUGGGAGAGGGAUGCAUGGUUAGGAUGCUAAAUUCUCAAGGAUAAACUUUGAUUUUUAAACAGUAGACAACUAUAUUUUAGAUUAUAGGUAAAACAUCACUCUCUGUCAGGGAUAGAGUAAUAUGCAUCGUUUCAUUAAACUCAUUAUUUCUUAAGCAAUGGUUAUGGGGCAGGCAAUGUGUGCGGAGAUGGGAACACAAAGAUGAAUAAAACUUAGCAUCUAGUCAGACACAAAUCCUACUCACUCAAAGGGGGCAUCUUUUAAAAAUAAUAAUUUACAGUAUGGCAACAUGAAUCAGAAACAUCAUUUAAAAUAUAUAUGGUAUCUGAGUAAGCUCCUGGGUUGAAGCAGAUGGGGUGUUUAAGCCUUUUGAAGCCCGGAAGAUGAGUUUCCGGGUGAAGGGGACACACAGACUCCUGUUUUCAAAGCUGACAAGGAAGUAAGCCAAGCAGAGGGAGGAUAGAACAUUGCAGGUGGAAAAAGGAGUAUGCGCAACUCCAGAGAGUAAUAAAACUCUGGUGCUUUGGGGCAACUUUGAAGUGGCUCAGUACUGUUAGAAGGGAAAGUGGUAAGGGAGAGUGCUGGUCCAAAAGUUUCGGUGUACUCAUAAUAUUCUAUGGCUCCAGAGUGUGGAACAGUCUUCUGUAAUGAGAAAGCCACAAGAAAAUCUUCAAGAGGAAAGUGAGUAUAAUCUAUAUUAAGCUUUAAAUUACAUUAGGGGAAACUACUUACCUAGCCCAAACAGGAAAAAACAAACAAACAAACAAAAAAAGAAAAGAAAAAAAAAAAAAAAAAGAGCGAAACGAAAGCAAUCAAGAACUAGUUAUAGGAACACAUAAGACAAAUUUAAAUGUCCAGAAGAAAAAUAAGUGAACUCUCCAAUUGUAUAAUGCUGCUGUUUCUGAAUUUUUUAAGUACAGAACUUUUUAUAUUAAGGCGAGCAAUUCUGAAUGACUGAUAACUGUUCAGCGAGACUCCAGGAAUUCUUCUUCCCAAAUUAAAGCAAUUUAGUGUUUGGAGUGUAAUUGAAUGCCAUUUGUUUAAUAUUGUUAGAUUCGUUAAAUAUAUAGCCAUUAUAAUUUGCCAAUUAAAAAGAAGCCAUACAGGCCAAUACUUAGACAAAAGUGAGGACAGCAUGGUUUUUUCUCAAUAUGUAAAUAGGUGCAAGAACUAUAAAUAUUGGAUAAAAAGUCUUUUGGAAUUAACUUCUAUUAGAAUGCUUAGUUUGAUGUUCCUGAGCACCAAAAGACUAUAAAGAAGUCUUUUGGAAUUAACUUCUUCUAUUAGAAUGCUUAGUUUGAUGCUCCUGAGCAAAUAAGAUUGUUUCUAAAUUUUCAUUUGAUCUUUGGAUUGUAAGUUCUUCAAUAAAGAGAAUAUAUUUGUCUUUAUUCAGCACAAUUCUACAAUUAUACAAUAGCCUAUAAAUAAAUAAUGUGAGUAAUGGCAGCUGGUUUUAAAAUGAUACUUUAUCCUUUGACUUAAUGUAAAUUCAUGUUUUCAUUGCUGGCUGUACUCUCAAAUCUAGCUGGCAAGAAAUGAAUAGAUACUUGCAGUCUCAUGGUGGAG
rnacentral:lncRNA from 1 species